CAGCAGCCGCGGUAAUACAGAGGGUGCGAGCGUUAAUCGGAUUUACUGGGCGUAAAGCGUGCGUAGGCGGCUUCUUAAGUCGGAUGUGAAAUCCCUGAGCUUAACUUAGGAAUUGCAUUCGAUACUGGGAAGCUAGAGUAUGGGAGAGGAUGGUAGAAUUCCAGGUGUAGCGGUGAAAUGCGUAGAGAUCUGGAGGAAUACCGAUGGCGAAGUCAGCCAUCUGGCCUAAUACUGACGCUGAGGUACGAAAGCAUGGGGAGCAAACAGGAUUAGAUACCCGUGUAGUCCCUGUCUCUUAUAC
rnacentral:rRNA from 1 species